rfam:Sclerotinia sclerotiorum 1980 scaffold_26 genomic scaffold, whole genome shotgun sequence.
UCUUUGAUGGUCUAACGGUCAUGAUUUCCGCUUGUCACUUACCUGGCAGAGCGCGGGAGACCGGGGUUCGACUCCCCGUCAGAGAG